rnacentral:tRNA from 2 species
GGGCCCGUAGCUUAGCCAGGUAGAGCGCCCGGCUCAUAACCGGGCGGUCCCGGGUUCAAAUCCCGGCGGGCCCA